GAGUUUGAUCAUGGCUCAGAUUGAACGCUGGCGGCAUGCUUUACACAUGCAAGUCGAACGGCAGCAUGACCAAGCUUGCUUGGUUGAUGGCGAGUGGCGAACGGGUGAGCAACACAUCGGAACGUACCGUUUAGUGGGGGACAACUUUCAGAAAUGGAAGCUAAUACCGCAUACGAACUACGGUUGAAAGCAGGGGACCUUCGGGCCUUGUGCUAAACGAGCGGCCGAUGGAAGAUUAGCUAGUUGGUGGGGUAAAGGCUCACCAAGGCGACGAUCUUUAGCGGGUCUGAGAGGACGAUCCGCCACACUGGAACUGAGACACGG
rnacentral:rRNA from 1 species